GAUGAACGCUGGCGGCGUGCCUAAUACAUGCAAGUAGAACGCUGAAGGAAGGAGCUUGCUCUUUCCGGAUGAGUUGCGAACGGGUGAGUAACGCGUAGGUAACCUGCCUGGUAGCGGGGGAUAACUAUUGGAAACGAUAGCUAAUACCGCAUAACAGUAGAUGUUGCAUGAUAUCUACUUAAAAGGUGCAAUUGCACCACUACCAGAUGGACCUGCGUUGUAUUAGCUAGUUGGUGAGGUAACGGCUCACCAAGGCGACGAUACAUAGCCGACCUGAGAGGGUGAUCGGCCACACUGGGACUGAGACACGGCCCAGACUCCUACGGGAGGCAGCAGUAGGGAAUCUUCGGCAAUGGACGGAAGUCUGACCGAGCAACGCUGCGUGAGUGAAGAAGGUUGUCGGAUCGUAAAGCUCUGUUGUAAGAGAAGAACGAGUGUGAGAGUGGAAAGUUCACACUGUGACGGUAUCUUACCAGAAAGGGACGGCUAACUACGUG
rnacentral:rRNA from 1 species